UAUGCUGCUAAGCAGAAAGAUCGGAAGUGUAAAGUCAGGAGACCUGUAUCCUACUAUUCAGACUUCAGGUAAAGACAGUAUCACAGUUGAUAUCCUCUGCUUAACUGAAAACUAUUGGUAGCAUCGAGUGUUUCAGAACUAAAUGAAUAUAUUUCAUCCAGAAGGCAUACCUUACGGAAUCAUAGAAGAGCCUAGG